rnacentral:rRNA from 1 species
CUACGUGCCAGCAGCCGCGGUAAUACGGAGGGUGCGAGCGUUAAUCGGAAUAACUGGGCGUAAAGGGCACGCAGGCGGUUAUUUAAGUGAGGUGUGAAAGCCCCGGGCUUAACCUGGGAAUUGCAUUUCAGACUGGGUAACUAGAGUACUUUAGGGAGGGGUAGAAUUCCACGUGUAGCGGUGAAAUGCGUAGAGAUGUGGAGGAAUACCGAAGGCGAAGGCAGCCCCUUGGGAAUGUACUGACGCUCAUGUGCGAAAGCGUGGGGAGCAAACAGGAUUAGAUACCCUGGUAGUCCACGCUGUAAACGCUGUCGAUUUGGGGAUUGGGCUUAAAGCUUGGUGCCCGUAGCUAACGUGAUAAAUCGACCGCCUGGGGAGUACGGCCGCAAGGUUAAAACUCAAAUGAAUUGACGGGGGCCCGCACAAGCGGUGGAGCAUGUGGUUUAAUUCGAUGCAACGCGAAGAACCUUACCUACUCUUGACAUCCAUGGAAUUCUGUAGAGAUACGGGAGUGC